rnacentral:rRNA from 1 species
CCCUUAGAUGUUCUGGGCCGCACGCGUGCUACACUGAGUGGAUCAGCGGGUCAGGUUGCGCGAAAGCGUUUCCUAAUCUUUAAAUCCGCUCGUGAUGGGGAUUGACGGUUGCAAUUUUCUGUCAUGAACGAGGAAUACCUUGUAAGCGCGGGUCAUCAUCCCGCGCUGAAUACGUCCCUGCCCUUUGUACACACCGCCCGUCGCUACUACCGAUUGGAUGGUUUAGUGAGACCCACGGAUUGGUCCCAGCACGGCGGGUAACCCCUGCGCUGGUGCGCCGAGAAGUCGGUCGAGCUUGAUUAUCUAGAGGAAGUAAAAGUCGUAACA